GGAGACAUGGUUCAGUGGUAGAACACUUGCCUAGCAUGCAAGAGGCCCUGGGCCCCAUCUCUA
rnacentral:tRNA from 1 species